rnacentral:rRNA from 1 species
UUGAGACUUCGGUGGAUUUGAUCUAUUUCUAGUGGCGGACGGGUGAGUAACGCGUGGGUAACCUGCCUUAUACAGGGGGAUAACAGUCAGAAAUGGCUGCUAAUACCGCAUAAGCGCACAGAGCUGCAUGGCUCAGUGUGAAAAACUCCGGUGGUAUAAGAUGGACCCGCGUUGGAUUAGCUGGUUGGUGGGGUAACGGUCCACCAAGGCGACGAUCCAUAGCCGGCCUGAGAGGGUGAACGGCCACAUUGGGACUGAGACACGGCCCAGACUCCUACGGGAGGCAGCAGUGGGGAAUAUUGCACAAUGGGGGAAACCCUGAUGCAGCGACGCCGCGUGAAGGAAGAAGUAUCUCGGCAUGUAAACUUCUAUCAGCAGGGAAGAUAGUGACGGUACCUGACUAAGAAGCCCCGGCUAACUACGUGCCAGCAGCCGCGGUAAUACGUAGGGGGCAAGCGUUAUCCGGAUUUACUGGGUGUAAAGGGAGCGUAGACGGUGUGGCAAGUCUGAUGUGAAAGGCAUGGGCUCAACCUGUGGACUGCAUUGGAAACUGUCAUACUUGAGUGCCGGAGGGGUAAGCGGAAUUCCUAGUGUAGCGGUGAAAUGCGUAGAUAU